rnacentral:rRNA from 1 species
GACAGAGGAUGCAAGCGUUAUCCGGAAUGAUUGGGCGUAAAGCGUCUGUAGGUGGCUUUUUAAGUCCGCCGUCAAAUCCCAGGGCUCAACCCUGGACAGGCGGUGGAAACUACCAAGCUGGAGUACGGUAGGGGCAGAGGGAAUUUCCGGUGUAGCGGUGAAAUGCGUAGAUAUCUGGAGGAAUACCGGUGGCGAAGGCGGCAUCCUGGACCGGCAUUGACGCUGAGGAGCGAAAGCUAGGGGAGCAAACGGG